rnacentral:pre_miRNA from 1 species
CUGAGUGACGAAACACACAGAGAAUUCAUUGAGUGACGAAUGUGUGUGUCGUCACUUAAUGAACUUCUCUGUGUGUUUCGUCACUC